AAUAUUGCGCAAUGGAGGGAACUCUGACGCAGCGACGCCGCGUGAGCGAUGAAGGUCUUCGGAUCGUAAAGCUCUGUCCUGGGGGAAGAAGGUCUUCGGACUUGACGGUACCUAAGGAGGAAGCCCCGGCUAACGACGUGCCAGCAGCCGCGGUAAUACGUAGGGGGCAAGCGUUGUCCGGAAUUAUUGGGCGUAAAGGGUGCGUAGGCGGCCUUUUAAGUCAGAUGUGAAAGCCCACGGCUUAACCGUGGGAUUGCAUUUGAACCUGGAAGGCUUGAGUAUCGGAGAGGGUAGUGGAAUUCCCAGUGUAGCGGUGAAAUGCGUAGAUAUUAGGAGGAACACCAGUGGCGAAGGCGACUCUCUGGACUGCAACUGACGCUGAGGCACGAAAGCGUGGGGAGCAAAC
rnacentral:rRNA from 1 species